rnacentral:lncRNA from 1 species
AAUAUUUAUAUACUGUUAUUUAUAUUGACUUCAAAACCUGAAUGCUUUUUAAAUUUAUGAUACACCUCAAUUCAAACUAGCCCUAAUUCAAUUGCUCAAUAACUGCAUGACUUUUUCUCCACAAAAGUCAUCAUGGAGACUUCCCAGCUGCAGAAGAAAGUAUGGGGUUUGAGAUCAGCCAUUGAAUGCUCCCUGAGAGCUGAUCAUUCUUGCCUUAGAGAGGAAGAGGUAAAUUAGGAAAUAAUUUUAUUAUCUUUCAUUAGCACGAAAGGGCACAUGGUUGGGUAGCAUGAUGAAAUAAUUCCAGUGAUCAUCUCUAGUCUUGGUUUUUUCUCAGAUUUAUAAAAGAAAUAAAGGGUGAUGAAGUUGUUUGAGCAAUAAAAGCACACAAAGCAACCAAGCAGCAGGAGGAUGGUAUGGGUAGCUCUGUGUUCAGGAGAUGGCUGGGAAGAGAGGCUGGGGCUGUGCAGACGCUGGGCUCUCCGCCGGUGUCUGCAGAGGAGACUGGCCAUGUUGAUGCUGGUCCAGACCAUGAGGAACACGAACAGGAUAUGGCGAAUCACCAUGACAUUUAUAAAUGAUCCUUGGGGGAGUUUUAUCUGUUUAGAUCACGGAUGUAUGCCAAAUCCAUUAAAUAGUACCAAGAAUAAGGAACAUGUGCAAAAUAUAUUUGUGGAAUGAAUAAAAUAAGUCCCAUAGAGCAGUGCAACUUAACAGAAAUAUAAUCCAAGCCCCAAAUGUAUAUUAAAUUAUUGUAUGCUCCUGAAACUCACCCGGUAAGCGCUGCAGAAACGCAGCAGGUGGUGACUUUAGGGGAGGACAGGACAAAUGGGAGAAUCCCCUUAAGCUUCGGUUUCUCUAGUUCUCAACUUCUUUUGAAAUAAUGUUCACAGAGAAGGAGGGCUUUCUCAGAUUUGAGGGAAACAAGCUCUCAGGACUUCCGGUCGCCAUGAUGGCUGUGGGCGGUAAACACGGUUAGCGCAAGCCUCUGGGACAUCUUCAAUGUUGAGUAGGAAAAAACACGACUACACUUACUUCUGCAGAGUUUAUAAUAUCCUUGCCCAUUAUUUACAAUAAAAUAUCUAAAACAUAGGUAAUAAUAUAUUUUAAAUAAAAUUGAAGCAAUAUAUGAAAUUUCUCUGAAAUUCAUCCAGCCACUCUCGGCUAUUGCCACUAUCCAGAAACGUCUUAAUCCCCCUGCAUGAUUUAUGUAUUUGGUUUGUAUUUUAAAUAUUAUUUUCUGUAAUAUUUAAAACUUGUAUUUGCUUGGUAUCGUGCUGUGCAGUCUCAUGCAAUUUGAUUUUUAAUCAAUAUUACUUUUUUUUUUUUUUUUGAGACGGAGUCUCGUUCUGUCAUCCAGGCUGGAGUCCAGUGGUGUGAUCUCGGCUCACUGCAACCUCCACCUCUCGGGUUCAAGCGAUUCUUCUGCCUCAGCCUCCCGAGUAGCUGGGGUGACAGGCGCCCACCACCACGCACGACUAAUUUUUGUAUUUU